rnacentral:piRNA from 1 species
UCUGACUGAAAUAGGCUUUCUUGGCUUGCAC